GGUUGAUCCUGCCAGUAGUCAUAUGCUUGUCUCAAAGAUUAAGCCAUGCAUGUCUAAGUAUAAAUAGUAUACAGUGAAACUGCGAAUGGCUCAUUAAAACAGUUAUAGUUUAUUUGAUAAUCUUCUACAUGGAUACCCGUGGUAAUUCUAGAGCUAAUACAUGCUGAUUGACCUGACUUCUGGAAAGGUCGUAUUUAUUAGAUAUCAAACCAAUUGCCGCAAGGUAAUUGUGAUGAAUCACAGUAACUGAUCGAAUCUCAGCUAGUCUGAGAUAGGUCAUUCAAGUUUCUGC
rnacentral:rRNA from 1 species